rnacentral:rRNA from 1 species
AGAGUUUGAUCCUGGCUCAGGAUGAACGCUGGCGGCGUGCCUAACACAUGCAAGUCGAGCGGAAAGGCCCACUUGUGGGUACUCGAGCGGCGAACGGGUGAGUAACACGUGAGUAAUCUGCCCUCCMCUCUGGGAUAACGUUCAGAAAUGGGAGCUAAUACCGGAUGUACACAGGCUGACGCAUGUUGGUGUGKGGAAAGGGUUCUCUGGUGGGGGAUGUGCUCGCGGCCUAUCAGCUUGUUGGUGGGGUAAUGGCCUACCAAGGCUUUGACGGGUAGCCGGCCUGAGAGGGUGACCGGCCACACUGGGACUGAGACACGGCCCAGACUCCUACGGGAGGCAGCAGUGGGGAAUAUUGGMCAAUGGGCGGAAGCCUGAUCCAGCAACGCCGCGUGAGGGAUGACGGCCUUCGGGUUGUAAACCUCUUUCACCAUUGASGAAGCUGCAUCUUUUUGGGKGKGGUGACGGUAGGUGGGGARGAAGCACCGGCCAACUACGUGCCAGCAGCCGCGGUAAUACAAGGGSG